rnacentral:rRNA from 1 species
UCAGGCGAGAGAUCCCGCUGAACUUAAGCAUAU